rnacentral:rRNA from 1 species
UUUGAUCCUGGCUCAGGACGAACGCUGGCGGCGUGCCUAAUACAUGCAAGUCGUACGCUUCUUUUUCCACCGGAGCUUGCUCCACCGGAAAAAGAAGAGUGGCGAACGGGUGAGUAACACGUGGGUAACCUGCCCAUCAGAAGGGGAUAACACUUGGAAACAGGUGCUAAUACCGUAUAACAAUCGAAACCGCAUGGUUUUGAUUUGAAAGGCGCUUUCGGGUGUCGCUGAUGGAUGGACCCGCGGUGCAUUAGCUAGUUGGUGAGGUAACGGCUCACCAAGGCCACGAUGCAUAGCCGACCUGAGAGGGUGAUCGGCCACAUUGGGACUGAGACACGGCCCAAACUCCUACGGGAGGCAGCAGUAGGGAAUCUUCGGCAAUGGACGAAAGUCUGACCGAGCAACGCCGCGUGAGUGAAGAAGGUUUUCGGAUCGUAAAACUCUGUUGUUAGAGAAGAACAAGGAUGAGAGUAACUGUUCAUCCCUGACG